rnacentral:rRNA from 1 species
GACGAACUUUGGCGGCGUGCUUAACACAUGCAAGCCGAACGGAAAGGCCCUGCUUUUGUGGGGUGCUCGAGUGGCGAACGGGUGAGUAACACGUGAGUAACCUGCCCUUGACUUUGGGAUAACUUCAGGAAACUGGGGCUAAUACCGGAUAGGAGCUCCUGCUGCAUGGUGGGGGUUGGAAAGUUUCGGCGGUUGGGGAUGGACUCGCGGCUUAUCAGCUUGUUGGUGGGGUAGUGGCUUACCAAGGCUUUGACGGGUAGCCGGCCUGAGAGGGUGACCGGCCACAUUGGGACUGAGAUACGGCCCAGACUCCUACGGGAGGCAGCAGUGGGGAAUAUUGCACAAUGGGCGGAAGCCUGAUGCAGCAACGCCGCGUGCGGGAUGACGGCCUUCGGGUUGUAAACCGCUUUCGCCUGUGACGAAGCGUGAGUGACGGUAAUGGGUAAAGAAGCACCGGCUAACUACGUGCCAGCAGCCGCGGUGAUACGUAGGGUGCGAGCGUUGUCCGGAUUUAUUGGGCGUAAAGGGCUCGUAGGUGGUUGAUCGCGUCGGAAGUGUAAUCUUGGGGCUUAACCCUGAGCGUGCUUUCGAUACGGGUUGACUUGAGGAAGGUAGGGGAGAAUGGAAUUCCUGGUGGAGCGGUGGAAUGCGCAGAUAUCAGGAGGAACACCAGUGGCGAAGGCCGGUUCUCUGGGCCUUUCCUGACGCUGAGGAGCGAAAGCGUGGGGAGCGAACAGGCUUAGAUACCCUGGUAGUCCACGCUGUAAACGGUGGGUACUAGGUGUGGGGUCCAUUCCACGGGUUCCGUGCCGUAGCUAACGCUUUAAGUACCCCGCCUGGGAGUACGGCCGCAAGGCUAAAACUCAAAGGAAUUGGCGGGGCCCCGCACAAGCGGCGGAGCAUGCGGAUUAAUUCGAUGCAACGCGUAGAACCUUACCUGGGUUUGACAUGGAUCGGGAGUGCUCAGAGAUGGGUGUGCCUCUUUUGGGGUCGGUUCACAGGUGGUGCAUGGCUGUCGUCAGCUCGUGUCGUGAGAUGUUGGGUUAAGUCCCGCAACGAGCGCAACCCUUGUUCACUGUUGCCAGCACGUUAUGGUGGGGACUCAGUGGAGACCGCCGGGGUCAACUCGGAGGAAGGUGGGGAUGACGUCAAGUCAUCAUGCCCCUUAUGUCCAGGGCUUCACGCAUGCUACAAUGGCUGGUACAGAGAGUGGCGAGCCUGUGAGGGUGAGCGAAUCUCGGAAAGCCGGUCUCAGUUCGGAUUGGGGUCUGCAACUCGACCUCAUGAAGUCGGAGUCGCUAGUAAUCGCAGAUCAGCAACGCUGCGGUGAAUACGUUCCCGGGGCU